GAUGAACGCUGGCGGCGUGCCUAAUACAUGCAAGUCGAGCGAACGGACGAGAAGCUUGCUUCUCUGAUGUUAGCGGCGGACGGGUGAGUAACACGUGGAUAACCUACCUAUAAGACUGGGAUAACUUCGGGAAACCGGAGCUAAUACCGGAUGAUAUUUUGAACCGCAUGGUUCAAAAGUGAAAGACGGUCUUGCUGUCACUUAUAGAUGGAUCCGCGCUGCAUUAGCUAGUUGGUAAGGUAACGGCUUACCAAGGCAACGAUGCAUAGCCGACCUGAGAGGGUGAUCGGCCACACUGGAGCUGAGACACGGUCCAGACUCCUACGGGAGGCAGCGGUAGGGAAUCUUCCGCAAUGGGCGAAAGCCUGACGGAGCAACGCCGCGUGAGUGAUGAAGGUCUUCGGAUCGUAAAACUCUGUUAUUAGGGAAGAACAUAUGUGUAAGUAACUGUGCACAUCUUGACGGUACCUAAUCAGAAAGCCACGGCUAACUACGU
rnacentral:rRNA from 1 species